UAGGGAAUCUUCCACAAUGGACGCAAGUCUGAUGGAGCAACGCCGCGUGAGUGAAGAAGGUUUUCGGACCGUAAAGCUCUGUUGUUGGUGAAGAAGGAUAGAGGUAGUAACUGGCCUUUAUUUGACGGUAAUCAACCAGAAAGUCACGGCUAACUACGUGCCAGCAGCCGCGGUAAUACGUAGGUGGCAAGCGUUGUCCGGAUUUAUUGGGCGUAAAGCGAGCGCAGGCGGAAGAAUAAGUCUGAUGUGAAAGCCCUCGGCUUAACCGAGGAAUUGCACCGGAAACUGUUUUUCUUGAGUGCAGAAGAGGAGAGUAAAACUCCAUGUGUAGCGGUGGAAUGCGUAGAUAUAUGGAAGAACACCAGUGGCGAAGGCGGCUGUCUGGUCUGCAACUGACGCUGAGGCUCGAAAGCAUGGGUAGCGAACAGGAUUAGAUACCCUGGUAGUC
rnacentral:rRNA from 1 species